rnacentral:tRNA from 1 species
UCGCCCUUAGCUCAGUUGGUAGAGCAUCUGACCGUUAAUCAGGUUGUCACCGGUUCGAACCCGGUAGGGCGAA